rnacentral:lncRNA from 1 species
AUGGCCUCCAGCUCCGCCAAAGGAACCUGUGAAGCUUCCUCCAAAGUUGCCCGGUCCAUUUCAAUAGCUCUGUCAAAGCUAGCACCUCCAGCACUACCCAUGGCCAGGCCCAUUUGCUCAAUGCCAGCACCCAGUGCUGGGCCCAUGGCCGGGCCCAUAUGCUCCAGACUGUUGGCGCCCAUGCGCUCCAGGCCCAUGCGCUCCAGACUGUUGGCUCCCAGGCGCUCCAGGCCCAUGCGCUCUAGGCCAGUAGGCACCAUGCGAUUCAUGCUCAGGCCCAUACACUCAAUGGCAGGGCCCAUGCGCUCUACACCAGAGCCCGUGCGCUCAAUGGUUUGGCCCACUCAGUCAAUGGGCAUGGCCAUGCGCUCCAGGCCGAAACCCGUGCCGGCACCCAUGCGCUCCAUGCCAGUGCCAAUGCGCUCCAUGGUCUGGCCCAUGCCCUCAAUACUGGAGGCCAUGUGGUCAAGACCUAGUGGGUCCAUGUGCUCGAUGCCAGAGCCCAUGCACUCAACUGAGCCCAUACAGUCCAUGACCAGGCCCAUAUGUUCAAUCUCAGAGCCCUCUCAAUCCAUACCAUGGCCUAGGCCUGCGCCCAUGGGUUCCAUGACAGCACAGCCAAUGCGGUCAAUGCCAGGGCCCAUCCUCUUGAUCCCUGGGACACUGCCUCCAGCUCCACCUCCUCCCUGCUUUGCAAUGAUCUCUCCUCUCUUCAGUGCAUUACUUAGGAUUUCAUUUAUUCUGGCCAUGUUCAUCCCAGAUCCAAAUCGCUCCAUGUUUUCCAUACCACCACCAAAGGGUCCUUCCAUGCCUCCAAUUUUAUUUAUUCCAAAUCCUAUGCCUUCCAUUCCCAUUCCUGCAGGCCCUAGGUUUCCCAUUCCAAUGCCUUUGUUCAGGUUGUUGGCAUCAGUAGGCUGUCCUCCAGGUUCUAACCCCAUGCCAAUACCACUAAGUCCAUGGGGAAGUUGCUGUGGUCAUUCAGGAUGGAAAAAUCCCUUUGGUAAGGCCCUCUCACCCAUUUUUGACGUGCAUUGGUCUAUCAAACAGCAGCUGGCCAUUAAACAUAGAUAUAGCUUGGACAGCUUCAAUGGACUGUUCAAAAGUCACAGUGACUAUUCCACGACUUUUCCCAUCUUUAUCUUCCGGAAUGUCUGCUCGGACCACCACACCAGCCAUACUAAAUACUUCCUUCAGUUUCUUCCAGCCAACUUUAUAAUCCAGAUUUGUUACAAAUACUGUGCUUCCAAGUCUUCCAGCCUAUAA